rnacentral:rRNA from 1 species
AUUGAACGCUGGCGGCAGGCCUAACACAUGCAAGUCGAGCGGAUGAAGGGAGCUUGCUCCUGGAUUCAGCGGCGGACGGGUGAGUAAUGCCUAGGAAUCUGCCUGGUAGUGGGGGAUAACGUCCGGAAACGGGCGCUAAUACCGCAUACGUCCUGAGGGAGAAAGUGGGGGAUCUUCGGACCUCACGCUAUCAGAUGAGCCUAGGUCGGAUUAGCUAGUUGGUGGGGUAAAGGCCUACCAAGGCGACGAUCCGUAACUGGUCUGAGAGGAUGAUCAGUCACACUGGAACUGAGACACGGUCCAGACUCCUACGGGAGGCAGCAGUGGGGAAUAUUGGACAAUGGGCGAAAUCCUGAUCCAGCCAUGCCGCGUGUGUGAAGAAGGUCUUCGGAUUGUAAAGCACUUUAAGUUGGGAGGAAGGGCAGUAAGUUAAUACCUUGCUGUUUUGACGGUACCAACAGAAUAAGCACCGGCUAACUUCGUG